UACGUAGGGUGCAAGCGUUGUCCGGAAUUAUUGGGCGUAAAGAGCUCGUAGGCGGUUUGUCACGUCUGCUGUGAAAUCCCGAGGCUCAACCUCGGGCCUGCAGUGGGUACGGGCAGACUGGAGUGCGGUAGGGGAGAUUGGAAUUCCUGGUGUAGCGGUGGAAUGCGCAGAUAUCAGGAGGAACACCGAUGGCGAAGGCAGAUCUCUGGGCCGUAACUGACGCUGAGACGCGAAAGCGUGGGGAGCAAACAGG
rnacentral:rRNA from 1 species